GGCUGUGUGCNUAAGGUAUGCAAGUCGAACGAACCCUUUUGAAUUACUUGAAACUUCGGUUGAUUGUUUUUCUUUUUUGGGUUAGUGGCAAACGGGUGAGUAACACGUGGAUAACCUGCCUUGAAGUCAUGAACAGCUCAUCGAAAGAUGGGAUAAUACAUGAUAGUCUUACAUCUUCUUUAGAUCUUGUAAGUAAAGUUACGGCGCUUCAAGAGGGGUCCGCGUCCUAUCAGCUAGUUGGUGAGGUAAUAGCUCACCAAGGCUAAGACGGGUAGCUGGCGUGAGAGCGCGGUCAGCCACCAUGGAACUGAGACACGGUCCAUACUCCUACGGGAGGCAGCAAUUAGGAAUCUUGCGCAAUGGGGGCAACCCUGACGCAGCGACACAGCGUGGAGGAAGAAGGUCUUCGGAUUGUAAACUCCUUUUAUAUGGGAAGAAUAGAUGACGGUACCAUAUGAAUAAGCACCUGCUAACUACGUGCCAGAAGCAUCGGUAAUGCGUAGGGUGCAAACGUUAUCCGGAUUUAUUGGGUGUAUAGAGAUGCGUAGGCGUUUUUGUAAGUCUUUAGUUAAAGACCACGGCUCAACCGUGGAAGAGCUUCGGAUACUGCAAAAAUUGAGACAGGAAGAGGCGAACAGAAUUUCCAGUGGAGCGGUGAAAUGCGUUGAUACUGGGAGGAAUAUCAGUGGCGAAGGCGGUUCGCUGGUCCUUGUCUGACGCUAAGGCUCGAAAGCGUGGGUAGCAAAACGGAUUAGAUACCCGUGUAGUCCACGCUGUAAACUAUGGAUGCUAGGUGUUCGGUAUAACUGUUUUUUCCUUCGGGAAAAAAUGGAAGUAUUGAGUGCCGCAGUUAAC
rnacentral:rRNA from 1 species